AUUGAACGCUGGCGGCAGGCCUAACACAUGCAAGUCGAGCGGAUGAAGGGAGCUUGCUCCUGGAUUCAGCGGCGGACGGGUGAGUAAUGCCUAGGAAUCUGCCUGUUAGUGGGGGAUAACGUCCGGAAACGGGCGCUAAUACCGCAUACGUCCUGAGUGAGAAAGUGGGGGAUCUUCGGCCCUCACGCUAUCAGAUGCGCCUAGGUCGGAUUAGCUAGUUGGUGGGGUAAAGGCCUACCAAGGCGACGAUCCGUAACUGGUCUGAGAGGAUGAUCAGUCACACUGGAACUGAGACACGGUCCAGACUCCUACGGGAGGCAGCAGUGGGGAAUAUUGGACAAUGGGCGAAAGCCUGAUCCAGCCAUGCCGCGUGUGUGAAGAAGGUCUUCGGAUUGUAAAGCACUUUAAGUUGGGAGGAAGGGCAGUAAGUUAAUACCUUGCUGUUUUGACGUUACCAACAGAAUAAGCACCGGCUAACUUCGUG
rnacentral:rRNA from 1 species